GGGUCGGUAGUUCAGAGGUAGAACACUUCGUUGUGGUUUCGCUCUCCAAUCUUUCCAACUCCGAAGAGACCCGUGUUCGAUUCACGGCCGGCCCA